GACGAACGCUGGCGGCGUGCUUAACACAUGCAAGUCGAGCGGUAAGGCCUUUCGGGGUACACGAGCGGCGAACGGGUGAGUAACACGUGCGUGAUCUUCCCUUCACUUCGGGAUAAGCCUGGGAAACUGGGUCUAAUACCGGAUAUGACCUCCUAUCGCAUGGGGGGUGGGGGAAAGAUUUAGCGGUGCAGGAUGGGCCCGCGGCCUAUCAGCUUGUUGGUGGGGUAAUGGCCUACCAAGGCGACGACGGGUAGCCGACCUGAGAGGGUGACCGGCCACACUGGGACUGAGACACGGCCCAGACUCCUACGGGAGGCAGCAGUGGGGAAUAUUGCACAAUGGGCGAAAGCCUGAUGCAGCGACGCCGCGUGAGGGAUGACGGCCUUCGGGUUGUAAACCUCUUUCAGCAGGGACGAAGCGCAAGUGACGGUACCUGCAGAAGAAGCACCGGCUAACUACGUG
rnacentral:rRNA from 1 species